UUGUACAUGUUUGUUAUAUUUUCCAAGUAACUGAUUUUGACUCUGAUAAAAUGACUUAGAAUGGAAAUGAAGAAACUCUGACCCUGCAGCCCAUGCCACCAGUGAAAAAACUUUCUAUUAAUGAAGAAUAUUGUGUUGGAAGAUCCAGCAGGUGAGACUUGUGAAUCAUUCAAUGACCAGAGGUAUCACUACUUGGAGGAACCUCUAAUGUAGACUAUAAAAUGGUGGAACUAUUUCUUAUGAUCUGAUGACAUUUGGCUGAGAAACAUGAUUGUAGAAAUGGUUAUUUAUUUAUUUUUUUCUACAUGAAUUUUACUACUGUCAUGGAGAUUUGAGUCCACCUGAAGAUGGUAGUAGCAAAAGAAAAUUGUAGAUUGUUUUGUUGCUAUUGUGGUUUUUGUGAUAGACAGAGUGUAGUCCUGAAUAUGGAACUCCUUAUGGUUUCAAGAUAAAGCUAGUUUAAGCUAGUUCAAUGCCAAUAUAGCAGUUCAUGCAACUGAGAAUUCAGAAAUGUCUAGAUAGAUACUAGUUUCCGCUUAGGUCAUCAGAAUUACUUCCCUCUGUAACUUUCUCUCUCUCUUUAUGUAUUAUAGUUUCCCCUGUGUUGCUUCAUUCUUAAGAAAGCUCCUCACAUGGUGCACAGAUCAACAUCUGAUGCUCUAGACAGUGUAGAAAGAAAAUGCCUUCUCUGCUCACUGAACAUUUUAUUUGUGGAAAAAAAAAUACACAACUCAGAGUAGCUCUGCUUAUGUAACUGUUUCAUCUCAAGACCUGGACUAAAUAAUUGAUUAAAAGAUGGAGAGUGGAAUAAUCUGAUUUUGCAAACUUGGGUUACAUGUCCAUAUCUGGUAGUAGGCCAACCAUAGUCAGAAAUGCUGACUGAGAAUAAAAGACAGUGUUUCCUUAAAGAAACCCUAGACUCACAUAGGUACUUGUAAUGUACAAUUCUGUUUUCUAUUCUUUUUUUUAAAUUUUCUUUUUUCUUAUUGCUUUUCCAAUGUUUCCAUGCUUACUGCUUAUUUCCAAGGUUAGAGAUUUUAGAUAUAUGAAUAAAAAUAAUAGAUUAAAUGAACAAUACCUUGAACCCCUUCACUUAUAGGCAUUACAAAAAAUUGACUAUAUAAACAUUCCAUUUAAUGAAAAGCACUUUAAUAUUUCUUUGAGAUGAGUAGCUUAAUAAAUUAUAGCAUUAUAAAAAUUCCAACAAAUAAACAGUAUUUUAAAAGUUGGCUGAAAAGAAGUAAUUUUCUAAAUAAAUUUUCUAAAAAGUUUCAAUAGCUACACUGUCCUAACAAAGCUUCUUGCAAGACUUGAAAGGAGGUUGUAGCAGCUGAAUUUUGCCACUGGUAGCUCUAUACAAUUUUUUCAUUGUGGAGAAUGAUAUUCAGACUAGCAAUAGAGUCAUCCGCUCCCUGUUAUCUACAUUCCCAUAUUUACUUUCCAUCAUACUUCCCAGACACCUUUCAAUUCAUAAGUAUUGAGUUUUGUAUGUAAAAUUCACCUUUAAAAUAUCUGAAAAUUUGCUUCCUUCCAAUUUCUCCCAUUCUCUAAGAUUUUAUAGGAAGAAAAUAAAAAAUGUUAUAUCUAAAUUUAAUUCAG
rnacentral:lncRNA from 1 species